AAAUUUUGUUUUCGAUUCGAACGCCCCCUGUUACCGCCAAGUUUAAAAUUCUUUUUCUGGAAAAUGAGAAAUUUUUUGUUCUUUUGUUAUUGUUUGAUUGUUUCUCGUUUGCGUGAUUAACUUUAAUUUAAUUGUUAUUGUUGUUAUUUUUUUUGUUUCGUUUGCGUGUUUAACUUUAAUUUCAUUGUUGUUUAAUUUGUUUUCUCUUCUCGUUCAAGGUUAAUUUAUUGACUUAUUGCUGUUCACGAUGGCGAUGAUGAUUUGGAAAAUGUUAAACUUUCAUCAUCAGAGGAAAAAGAUGUGAUAAUUUGAUUGUGAUUCUCUCAUCAGUCAUUCAGGGAAACAAUUCAAUUAAUAAUUUGAUUUUCUUUUUUUCUCAUUUCUCAUCACUAUCAGAAUAUCAUUUAAUUACCUGCAGACUGAUCAGAUUCAAUUUAAUUGUCUCUCUGUCUGUGUAAUGCCAAUUCUAAGAACCGGAAAUUGCUGAUUGGUAAUUAGUACAAACUACAUGCAUCGAUUGAGCAAUUUGAUUUGGAAAAUGUUGAAUUUAUGAAAUCAAUCAAACUCAAUCAUGAGCUGUAUUGUUGGUUGGCUGUUAAUUGUUACAAAUUUGCUCUCACUCUCUUGUUAACAAUUAUAAUGAUACUAAUGAUUACCGGCACUAAAAAAAACCAAUCAAUGGUGAUUGUUUUUUUUUUCUUGAAUAGAUAAUUUUUCUAUAAUUUGUUUUCAGGUUUGAUUGAUUGGUACAUAACUACUGAUAAAUUGCUGAUUAUUUCAAAUUGAAUGUUAAAAAACAAAGGAGCUUGUUGCCAAAUUGUGAAACAAUUUAAAAGAUGCGUAGUUAAUAUAAGACGUGAUCCAAUUGAUUUAGUUAAAAGUUCAAGGUAUUCGUUGAGUUCAUUCAUUGAAACAUCCAAACCGGAUUUACAGUUAACUUUAAUCCGCUCAAGUUUCAAAUUAAAUGAAACAAUUUGGAUAAUCAAGCAAAGUAAUUACUCAUCAAAUCUUUGAUCAAAAUCUCUUGGUUUUCUCGUGUUUAAAACAUAAUCAAUCCAGUCGAUGAAUUAAUUAGAUGAAUUUACCGAUGCAACUAAAUUAUGAUCACAUUGUGGCCUUGAUUGUCUUAAUUAAAUUAUAACAUUGUAAUGGAUUUUUAUUGAUCCUUCCUUGAACAUUUUGACAACCAUCAUCAUCAACAUCACGUGAUUAAGGGACAAUUAAGUUGUUUGUGAAUCAAAAUUUAUCUCAAUUACAAACAGUUUCCUGAAAAUAUUAAUCACUCGUAAUUAACACUCUUUUGUUGGAAAAUAGUGUUAAUUGAUUAAUCAUGAAUCCUUUCCACUAACACUCGAGGUGUUAUUUUUUCGCAAUUCUUUCCAAUAAUCUUUAAUUACUCGUAAUCUGAAUGUGAUUAACUACGUGAUAAAAAGAGACAAUGUAAAUCUCUUUAUUCCUGUUGCAUGAUCAUCUUAAUUAUUACAGUUAUUAAUUAAGCCGAAUAGGAUAUUUUUUGUAUACUUCUAUUGAUUUUAUUGAUUAUUGAACUUAAUUGCUCUUUGAAAGCAAUAAAAAAAUGAGAUCUUUGUCUGAUUCAUUAAUUGAUCAUGUAAUUAAUCACAUCAAUUAUUGAGUUCCAAGGUUAUCAACAAUCAUCAUCAUUAUCAACGAAAAAAAUCAUUGUUGAUUAGUCGUCAACUUUUUUUCGAUUUUCUCAGAAUCAAAAAGAGAAUCAAUAUUACAACAAUCAAAGAAGAUAAAUUAACCAACUCAGGAUAUAAUUUAGUAAUUAAUAAAUCAUCUGAAAAAUUUAAUGUUUUCUAUGAAAAUUGAUUAUAUUUUUCAAGGAUUUUCACAUUGAA